AUUGUGCACUUGAGAACAUUUCCGUUCCCUGUUCGGAGCCGGUCUGGGGAAGAGGAACCCGCUACAUCCAUGUCCACUUUGGUGUCCUGAGGUAGCAGGUCUGGAAUGAGGGUAGCUUUUCCCGCCCGUCUCCCUGCACAGCAGCAUGUCAGCUUGCAGCAGGAGCAUUAGGAGAAGAAACAGAAACCCACUAGCGGCUGCUGAGACAGGCCCACAGUGGGGAAGGAGGGGCAUAGAAGGCCCCAACCUUGGCUUUCAGGAGCAGGAUCCAGCUGGCAAGGUAUGGGGGCUAACCUAGCUCACCCAACCUAACCUCCAUGCUACUGUCUUGCCCCACCUCUCUUUGGAGGACCAAGGUGCCUUCCUGAAACGACCAUGACUGGGGUCAAAGUUCCCUGCAGAACCCCUUCUCCUCCAAGGGCCACUCCCUGACUCCCAGGAGACCCCCUUCCAGGGGCUGUCCAGGGCUUUGGCUAAUCAGUUCACCCCUACCCCCACCCCUACCUGUUUCCCCCUCUUCAUGGGAAAUAGACCUCUCUGCCCACAGGGUCGGAGCCACUUUCCCACAGGGAUCAGACGUCCUUAGUCCUGGACAUCAUACUCCUUCCACAAGGAUCUGCUCACUUCUUCCCUCCUAUCCACCUCUGUCCUGGUUUGGCAUCUGGGGCCCCGUGUGCUCCUCUGCACUUCUGACUGAGCCAGAAGUCAGACGGACAGAAUUUUGGCUCUAGAACCACCCCUCGCCUCGCGUUCUGGCCUGGCGGCACCCCGGGGGAACACUGGUGGGCUAGGCGGCCAAAGCCCCUCCUCCGACCCGCAGAGGCCCCGCCCCCUCCCUUUCCUCCGGGCCUCCGCGGCGCCCUCGCUCCUCGCGGUACCCCCUCUGGGGGCCCUCCGCCGCUGGGCCGAGGCCGGAGCCGCGGCCGCCGCCACCGCCACCGCCGCCGCCGCCGCCGCCGCCAGGGAGGGGGAGGGGGGUCAUAAAUAACCCGCGGGGCGGCUCGGCCUGAGCAGCGCAGACUGUGACCCGAGACGUCUCCGGGGAACGCGGGGCAGCCCGUAGACCCUGCUGCCCCCAACCCGGGGCUCGGCCAGCCAUGACCGCCUCCUCUGGCGCUAUCUGACCCUGUCCACAACCGGCGUUCCUGCCAGAAGCCUCCCUCCCAUCCUGGAGUGCCUACCUACCCUCAUCCCCAGACUGCUCCCCUUAAAGCCCCCUUUUGAGCCAUUCCUUCACCAAGCAAUCAUUUAUUGAGCACCAGAUGUGGAACCCCGGGAAGAGAGAUGGGCGAGGUUGGAAGAAGAGAGAUGCAGAGGAGACCCGCUCCCUCAGCCUUAGUCUUCCUGAGCUCAUCUAGGGUGACUGUCGCGGUGGGAGAGCAGGCCCAGACAUGCCAGACACAGGAAGGCAUGUAGGGACAGAUCACACAGGUGUGGGCACAGCUGACACAGCUGUGAGGAAACACAUCCACGGGUACACAUACAUGUGCCCAAAGCCACCAACAGAUGCAUGCAUUCUCAAAAGCUCAUGCCUAUAUGCUUCCAUAUGCACGCACAGCAGCUCCCCAAGCUGCACACACAGCACAGAGGCUGACAUCCUCACCACAAACAUGCACAGACAGUAUGUGUGUUAACUGACAUCCAAGAUCAAAGACACCACCGACACCUGUGCAAAAGCAUACAUAGACACACAGGCCUGCAGCAUGAGCACCAGAUGGAUAUAGCCGUCAUACCCAAGACAGCGUGUCUGGAGCAAGGGUCUGCUGGCUGGCAGCAGUGUUCCACUCGGAAGGCUUAGCCUGGGAGGUCGGAGGUCAGUGGCGAAUCAGCUAGGGCUCCUUUACACUCCCUGCUAGAGUGGUCAGAGCUUCCAGGAAGGUGUCGGUUCCCAGCUGCAGGUCAGACACAGGAGGGGCUGCCCUGCUAAGACUUGCCUUGCCUUCGGCCCGCCGUGAGCUGGCUGCAGGCCAUGCCUCAGGAGUAGACAUGUUUCCAAGGCCGGCCUGUUCACCGACCUUAACUGAUGCUAUAUGAAGGAGUAGAGAGAUAGGGCUUAGGGUCAACCCUACAUUCCCCUGUGGGUUCGCAGACUCGGGGCACCGACAGGGCACACGCUGCCAGAGCAUUGGUAACAUAUACCAUGAUAUUCACCUGCUGCAUCACGCAUAAGCAGACACACACACACACACACACACAGUGACCCCAGGCAAAAACACAGUGACACAGGUGAGCUUGACACACCACAGGGUGCACUGGAUACACUCGGAAGCCAUACAGAGGGAGUUGUUGGUCUGGCAACGUGAAUGGGAGUCCCGGCUACCACUGGCUCUGCAAGCCAAGUUCCUCUGCAGGAGGAGUGAAGACACCCACUCACUGGUGUCACCGGGGACAGAGAGCAGCACCUGCCUCAGGCAGCCUGUCACGUGCUGUGGCCCCUCUUGGGCCUGGGUUGUGCUGGAGUUAGGCUGACACAGGUGGUAAAGGUGGCAGACCCUUCAGUGGCCUGAGAUUUGGGCCCUCCUAGCCAGCCACUGAAUGGCCCAGCCUUCUCUGCCCUUCUCAGGACCUUACUUUCUCCAUCUGAAAAUGAGAUAGGGGUUCAAAAUCUGUGGGGUCCUUUGGCCCGGAGCAGAGCAGUCAGGGUGAAAUGUGGCUACAGGUGCCCUGGUCAGCACGGUGAGGCAGGCCUAGCACACUCUUGAUGCUUUCUCCGUAAAUGGGCCCAGAGUACAGGAGCUGGGGGAUGGGUUCGCCCCAAGGUAGGGCCAAGCAAAGGGCAGGAAUAGAGUCUUCUAGGGCCCCCGGAGACAGAAGAAUCUGUCCCAAUGAAUGGGCACGUGGGCUGGUUCCACCCCUUUCUGUCCCUGCAAACAUCACCUGGUCUGCUGCCUGGACAUGGCCUGGGGUGGGAAGGGGGUCGAGGGGACCCCUGGCUGCAGCUGCUGUCCUGCUGUGUGUCCAUGAGGUUGUGGUCCUUAUCCCUCGUGGCACAAGCCACUGCGGCACCGUAAUCUUUCAGAUGUCAGGUCAGGGAGACGACCAGAGUGGAGUGGCAGAGCUAUCAGAGUGGUGCUGCACGCAGACUCAGUUCCGGUCCCGUUACACCCCCACGUCUCGGGAGUGUGCCAGCAGGGGCUGAUUGUGAGGGAAGAGCGGACCCUUACCCGAGAGUGUAGGGCUACCCGUGUGCUCACGUGUGUCUAUGCUGUGUGCUUAUGCGUGAGUGUGCUUUCCUCCUCCUGUGACCACAGUCCUGCUGCUCACGCUCAGUGCAGAUCCCACAUGAAGGCCUUGGGGACCCAUGCUCCUCCUUGUGGGGGUGUAGCCCCUGGAGGGUCAAUCCCAGCCGUGCCGUUCACAUGUUCACUCUUGGCCUGCUCACCUGUUUUGGCCUGGGAAGACCUGUGAGCAUUCGGAACCUACCACGGUCCUGAUAGAGACACUAGGAUGUGCCACCCUCAGUCACAGGGCAGCCGUCAGGCCUCUGGGUGUGAGGAAUGGGCUCAGGGGGGCCUCUGCCAGGACUGUUAGUGGAAGUUGAAGGAGAAAGGACGUUCAGGUGGGGACCCUCGGCACAGAAAUCCCGGAGCAAGAGAGAAGCUGGAGGUAAGGGGCCAGUUGGUGGAGGGCUAGGAGGGUGGGUGGCUGGAAGGUACUGCCCCCAGGCCCAGCUCUGAGAGACUCCCAGCCUCCACAGCGAGCCCAGACUGGCCCUGGAAGUGACUGUUUAUGUUGGACUUCCUGCUAACUGUGAGCUCCCUGCGAGCAGGACUUUUGUUUGUUUUCUGACAUACCCACCACGUGUCAGCGUUUGAGGCUUUUUACAGGGCUCCACCCUGGUGUGGCCCCCUCCACCCUCCCGGCUUGGCCUCCCUGGCCUGAGGCAGCCCCAGGCCUGCUAACCUCUUCUCCCAGCACCUGCCCACUGGGCUUCUGCCCAGGCAGGACUCUGAAUACCUUCCUAUCCCCAGAAGCUUCUUAAGGUUUGGCCACAGACAUCGUCUUCUUCAGAGAGACAGCGAAACUCCCAAGUCUGGGGGAAUCUCUUGGCCCCGGCCUCAUCUACCACGCUCCAGCAGGGUUGCAACUCUGUGCCUGCCUACCCUGGGAGGAGGGGUGGGUUGUUUGGGCGUACUUCACGCACAGUUCCACCAUCAGGGUCACCCAGACGACCAACAGUCACCUUGUCAUCAUUGAUUUGUCACAUCAGGGCUUUUCAGAAGUAGCAUGCUGAGGUGGUCAGUGAGUUUCACUGUUUCACAACUGCAGCCCAGGCUGGCUUUCUGAGGUGAUGACUUAGCCUGACCCCAUCCAAGGCCCAGUCCUCCUUGCAAGGCUUGGUUGAGUUGGCGAUAUGCCUGCUGAGUGCGAUGAUGUCGCUGUGGGUGCCCGUCUGGGUGUGAGGGUUCCUUUAUUACUGCAACUGUCCACGUCCUCCACCGGGUCAUUUCAUCUUCCGCGUUGCCGUCUGCGGUUUCACAACAGAGUAGCUCUGCACAUUUUGCCAUGAGAGCGGGAACUCUGUGAUGUCCGACCCUUUGAAGUUCUGCACGGCGCCCCAGGUGCAGCCCCAGAAGUGUGUGGGACCGAAGAGCACAGCCUGGUGUGGGCUGAGACACUGAGCAGAACCCGCCUGCGGAGGCCGGACCCACACCUGCCGUGGGCAGGGGAAGGGCAGCGAUUCCAGGGUUCUGUCCAAGGCCACAACUUGGCACUUUCUCCAGGGCGUUUAACAAAGUCCCAGGUGGGUCCUGGGGGCCUUCCCACCUGUAGACUGGCCAGGCUGCUUGGAGGCCCAUGGAAAGCGUGAGCGGAAGAGACACCUGGCAGGACUGGGGCCGGUCAGAGGGGGUUUUCCCUCUGCAUAGAGGAGGGUGGGCAUCCCCAGAUGUGGAGUCCUCAUGCCCUGCUCAGAACAAAGGAGCCUGACCUUUCGUGCUCUGUGUACGUGCAGAGGCUAACAGAUGUCAGCGUGCUGCAGACUCCUUCCAGCAGCACAGAUAGACCGUUCUUUCAGACUGGGUGGCCUUGCAAAAGCCUGAGUUUGCCACAUGUUAGCAGUUGAGUAACUGUGUGUCUGAGUCCAGCAGGUGUGUGUGGGCUCCCGGGCUCCUGGGGCUUCAGAGACAGGAUGGGGUGAUUCAUGACCGGCGAGGGGCAGAGCCAGGACUUGGGCUGGGUCAUCCCAUCUUCCAGCCGGGAACAUGGCCCUCAGCAAACUUGUCAGCUUCUGCAUAAACCUUGUUUGGCAUCAA